rnacentral:rRNA from 1 species
CCUGGUUGAUCCUGCCAGUAGUCAUAUGCUUGUCUCAAAGAUUAAGCCAUGCAUGUGUAAGCACACACUGUGUUAAAAGUGAAGCCGCGAAUGGCUCAUUACAACAGCCACAGUUUAUUAGAACUUACUCUCAUGGAUAACUGUGGUAAUUCUAGAGCUAAUACACGCACAAAAACUUCAACUGAAUUGGUUGAAGUGCUUUUAUUAGAACAAAAACCGAACGGCGUUUGAUGAAUGUUGAACGUCGAAACUGUUUGGUGAAUCUGAAUAACUAUUUCUGAUCGCAUGGUCUAGCACCGGCGACAUCACUUUCAAGUGUCUGCCUUAUCAACCUUCGAUGGUAGUCUAUGCGACUACCAUGGUGAUAACGGGUAACGGAGAAUCAGGGUUCGACUCCGGAGAGGGAGCCUGAGAAACGGCUACCACAUCCAAGGAAGGCAGCAGGCGCGCAAAUUACCCACUCCCAGCUUGGGGAGGUAGUGACGAAAAAUAACGAGACGAUUCUCGUUUGAGAAACGUUAUCGAAAUGAGUACGCUUUACACACGCUAACGAGUAGCAAUUGGAGGGCAAGUCUGGUGCCAGCAGCCGCGGUAAUUCCAGCUCCAAUAGCGUAUAUUAAAGUUGCUGCGGUUAAAACGCUCGUAGUUGAAUUGUGGUCUUAGACAACAGUCCCCCUACAUAGGUGUGGCACGGUUGCUCGAGAUCUUCAUUCGUGGUUGCUGUUGUUGCUCUUGAUUGAGUGUCAAUGGUGCCUCGAGAUUUUACUUUGAAAAAAUUAGAGUGCUCAAAGCAGGUUGUGAUGCCUGAAUAAUGGUGCAUGGAAUAAUAGAAUACGAUCUCGGUUCUAUUUUGUUGGUUUUCGAACUGGAGAUAAUGAUUGAAAGGAACAGACGGGGGCAUUCGUAUUGCUGCGUUAGAGGUGAAAUUCUUGGAUCGCAGCAAGAUGAACAAUUGCGAAAGCAUUUGCCAAGAAUGUUUUCAUUAAUCAAGAACGCCGCCCUAGUUCUAACGGUAAACUAUGCCAACCAGCGAUUCGCCGAAGUUCAUUUAAGACUCGGCGAGCAGCUUCCGGGAAACCAAAGUGUUUCGGUUCCGGGGGAAGUAUGGUUGCAAAGCUGAAACUUAAAGGAA